UCUCCGUUGGUGAACCAGCGGAGGGAUCAUUACCAGAGUUUUAUAACUCCCAACCCUUCUGUGAACCUCCCUCUCGUUGCCUCGGCGGACUCGCCCCAGCGUCCGGACGGCCCCGCGCCGGCCCGCGACCUGGACCCCGGCCGCCGCCGGAGACCACACAGUCCUGUACCUAUCAGUCUCUUGGCAUCCGCCUCAAGGCAAAACAAACGAACUAAAACUUUCAACAAUGGAUCUCUUGGUUCUG
rnacentral:misc_RNA from 1 species